GAGCCUUGGGCCAGUGAUGAAGCUCAUCAGCAAGGCCCUGAGGCUCUGCUUCCCUGGAGGCAGGGGCUGAGGCCCCAGGACAAGUUCUGUGAGGGCAGAAGGCAUCCACGCCAGGCACAUCUGCCCUGGAGGCUGAGAAGUCUGAGAUGAAUGAGCCCCUUAGCUAUUCCAGAUGAUUUCCCUGCGGCCCAGCUAGCAUGUAAAUCCAGCACCCAGUUGGCAGGCAGGAUAAUUCCUCAAACAGAGAGGCCACCUGCCAGAAUGGGGCUGAGUGUUCCGAGUAGCUAACCAAGGAGAAUAGAAAAUCUGCCAAUGAGGCCGUUUCUAAACACACAACUGUCUCGAGGAAGGGGAAAGAAGGGACUGUAGUUCAGUCAUGGAGAAGGAUGUAUAAAAAGGCGUAGACCAGCUCCACUCAUUCUCCUCAGUCUGGUUUGAGGAGGUGCAGUUGCCGCCUUUGUCCACCCCACCUGUGCACAAAGCAGACCUUGCAUCCUGCCUGGGGCCAGGGUCCAACCCAGAGUCAGCAGGGGCCCUGGGGAGUGAGCGCCAUGCCCAGGCACCCCAGCCUGUCUGCCCAGCAGGGCGGGCUCACCACAAGCUGUCAGCACCAAGGAGCGAGGCCCAAGCACUGAGGUCAGAUGCCCCGAGGAUGCAGGCAGAAAUGUCCAACCUGGGCAGACAAAGCGGAGUCUAACCUGGGUGGGAUUCAGGAGGGAGCCUGCCAGGACCUUCAGCCGUGAGUAGGAUGAGCUGGAGACUUGGAAGCUACAAGCAAAGCUGAGCAAUGGGACAGGCAGGGACCAGGUGAGGAGCAAGGCUACAGGUAACGGAGGACAGGCACAGGUGGCCGGGACUACCGCUGAAAGCUCCAGUAGGGGCUCCACACCCCAACUUGGGUGUAUCUGGACAUGCCAGACACUGGGCAGUGCCACCCAGCUCUCCCUCUGAAGCAGGACUCCUUGCCCAGGUGUGGGGCAUGUGGUCAUUAGGCAGCCUCCUCUUGCCAGCUCCUACAGGGUCUGCCUCAGCUGCACCUCUCCCAGAGGAGCCCUUGUCCUGAGACUGAAGGAGCACAAAGGCUAGCUUCGCCAUCUCAGGGCCUGCUUCUAGAAAACCCAAUCUGCAGCUCUGAAUGGCUCCGCUAGCACCCACGGUGUCCAGCUUGAAGACUCUGCCUCGUGGGGCCUCUUCAAAUGGAGGUCACUGUGUCCUCUUCCUUUUUUGGGAGAUGGAUGAGGGGCAGAGAACUUUCCUGUGCAUUGAGAAUCCUUCCCAGCCUCCAGUGAGAGGUGAGUCUGGCGCCCUUGUCCCCAGGUGGACCUGGCUGCCCACUUUGGGUCUUGCCACAUGAAGAAAGCCGUUCUGCCUGGCAGAGUUGCAGCAAGCCUGAUGUUUAACCCCGAAAGCAGAAACUUCUUUGCCCUAGCCACAUUCUUUUUGAACUCCAUAAUAGGGGAGGAAGCUAAGGAGAAUCAUGCAUCAAGAGAAAAAAUGUUCAUAUUCCCACUGGAAAGGAAGGUGGGUCAAUUUGAAAAUACGGUAUAACAGCAAGUGGUACAGAAGCCCAGCCUGGAAAACAGUGCUGUGAUGCCCAGGAAAUGAUAAAACCACCCCGGCGCUCCCUGGGGUCAGGCCAAGGUCUGCAGUCAUAACCACCUGCUCUCCUUCCAUUCCCUCCAGCCUCACGGCAUGUGGUUGGUGUCGAUGGCCCAAAUACAAAGGUUAUGUAUAUAUCAGAGCCCUCAGACUGAGAAAGAAAAAUUGUUCCAAGAAAUCAAGUAUUUUAUCUACAUGGAGAAAACCAGAGCCCUGAGAGUAGUUAACCCAGGAGCUUCCAGAGUCCCCCAGAGUGGAAGCCCAACCUCCUUGGGCUCUGAGAUCCAUUGUUAUGAGCCCAAAGGGCAGCCCAGAGGUUGAGGGGUGACAAGGAGGGAGGAGAGGGCCGGCAGACCUGAAGCUCCCCUACCUGUAAGUGUGAGUCCCCUCCAUGUCAUCAUCUUGAGGCCGUGCUUCCAAAGAUGGUGCUUAUCCUAGACAUUAAGGAAAAGGGGGCUAACAGAAUAAAAACACUUGGGUAAAAUAAUAUCCACAAGGUAGGAAAUUUGGAGAAGAUUUUUGAAAGGUUAGGGAAGAAAAACUUUUG
rnacentral:lncRNA from 1 species